rnacentral:rRNA from 1 species
AGGGUUCGAUCAUGGCUCAGAUUGAACGCUGGCGGCAGGCCUAACACAUGCAAGUCGAGCGCGAAAACACUUCGGUGUGAGUAGAGCGGCGGACGGGUGAGUAAUGCUUGGGAAUCUGCCCAGUAGUGGGGGAUAACCUGUGGAAACGCAGGCUAAUACCGCAUACGUCCUACGGGAGAAAGCAGGGGAUCUUCGGACCUUGCGCUAUUGGAUGAGCCCAAGUCGGAUUAGCUUGUUGGUAGGGUAAUGGCCUACCAAGGCAACGAUCCGUAGCUGGUCUGAGAGGAUGAUCAGCCACACUGGGACUGAGACACGGCCCAGACUCCUACGGGAGGCAGCAGUGGGGAAUAUUGCACAAUGGGCGAAAGCCUGAUGCAGCCAUGCCGCGUGUGUGAAGAAGGCUCUAGGGUUGUAAAGCACUUUCAGUAGGGAGGAAAAGUUAACGAUUAAUACUCGUUAGCCUUGACGUUACCUACAGAAGAAGCACCGGCAAACUCCGUGCCAGCCGCCGCGGUAAUAC